AGAAAUUAAAAAAAAUUAAGUUCGAUUUUGGGUAUGACGUAAGAAUAAGUCUGAAUUAAAUCCGAUGAGUUUGAAUACGUUGCUUGAAAAAACUGCGAAAAAUUGGGGCUAUUGCCUAAUCAUUAUUUUCGGUAUAAAACUGUUUUGGGUCUUGUGAGAACUGGACCCAGCAACGACUUAUAUCAUAUAGCUGCCAUAGAAAUGAUCCUUUACUGUAGACGAAAAUAUUGUGAGCGUAUAACUGAAACUGUAAAACUAUAAAUAUGUUAAACAAGCUGGCUCGGCGAACUUUGUCUCGCCCCUAAUUAAUGUUUUAUUUAACCCCAUAUUGAUCAUAAAACACAGAUAUUUCAAAUUACUUUGUAAUUUAUUUGAAUUUCAUCAGUUCAGAGCGGUUUAACAAACUAUAUUUUUUUAUUUAUUUUCCGGUGCAAAAAUAAACGACGAAUACGGCUUUACAACACGGGAACAUGCAACGUACUGACCAUGCGCAAAAGAAGGAUAUUGAAGUUUAACCCCAAAGACAUUCAACGAUUGGCCUUGCGAUUUCUUGAUUGUCAUUGGAAAAACCAACGGAACUGGAAAAAGAGAUGAGAGAGGAGAUGCUUGCCACCAAACGAAAACGCUCCGCUGAGAGUGCCGUAAAGGACACUCCGGGAAGCAAGCGGCAACGCGUGCCUAAGAAAGCAGGGCCUCCCUGAACGCGGGAAAAGCCAGAACAAAAAUCGCGAAGGGCAGUGAUUACACGGAUCGUGGAAGACCCUGUAGCGCCCAUGCCCACAUUUGAUGGUGCCGGGUGGCUAAAUUUGGCCAAAAUCCUAAAGUGUAUGGAUGACACGACGAGAAAGUGUCUGACGCAAACGGUCUGCCAGAUGGAAGCACUGUGUGGUGGGGCCGAGCUGGAGGUGGUGGACAGGAACUUAUCCCAUCCAUUCCAAAGGCGAAGGUACUCUUCCCCUUUGCUAUUCAAGGGGACCGAGCGCUGAAGCUGCUGCAGUGUCAGAAUCCGAAUAUUCCAAACGCAGACUGGAAGCAUGGAUGUCCUGACUGUGGUGAUGCUACAAAGCAAGAAGAAGCUCUUACUGGUAGCUUCUUGUUAAAUGGCAAACGACAGGCCAGCUCCAUCAGAUGAGCUCAGGAGCCUCAUAGAACCCAGCCCGAAGGACCAGCAACUGCUUGCGCACCGCAGCGUGUGGGGGAGCCCCUAUAUAAACGAUAAAUCAAACGUGAGGGAGGAACACACCUUUGCAGGUCCCACCUCGUCAAACGUGCUAGAUAUAACAUUCAUAGCGGGAUAAAGUACUAAAGUCAGAAUAGAAAGUCCUCGAGAGACCAUCCUUCUUUGAUCACAAGUACAUACUGUUCCAAAACGAAUUCGACACUCUCCAAAAUUAACUAUUUUUAGAAACCCCUGGAAUACUAACUGGGGAAAGUUAAAAAAAACAAUCGCUAAUCGCCAAUCAAGAACAAAGGAGUGGACCAGACCACCCUGGUGGAACAGGAAUCUUCCGCUCCCAUGCAAUACAUUUUUCAAAAUCGGCAAGCAGGCAAAAGAUGAUGUAUAUAAGAAUAGAAAAUUCUGUUAAAGUAUUACAAGAUGAAAAUACGCAUUGCGUAAAGAAGCUUUUGGGGAAACUUCUGCUUCAACAUUCAGACCCAAAAACGGCUAGACUCUGGAAGUUGUUUUCGAAGCAUACCAUACAGAGUCUGCUCAAACGUGACAACUGACAGCACUAUCGUACGCUCACUUCUCAUGUUGCAUCUCCUAACAGAUUUAAAAUCCUCUAGAAAAAUCCACCGUGCUAUGGAAUCCUUCGCGAGGAAAAAACCACCAUUACUACACGAUACAAUUACGAAGGUAGUCCCUUCGGCAGUCAAAGCGCUCGGAUUUUGCUUCAGUGCGUAUUCGUUUGUCGUAGUGAAAGGUUGUGUGCCGACAAAAUUUUGUCAAGCAUUAACCCUUAUGCAACAUGACAUUUAAA